rnacentral:rRNA from 1 species
CAGUCGCCGCGGGAAUACGGAGGGAGCUAGCGUUGUUCGGAAUCACUGGGCGUAAAGCGCACGUAGGCGGCUUUGUAAGUUAGAGGUGAAAGCCUGGAGCUCAACUCCAGAACUGCCUUUAAGACUGCAUCGCUUGAAUCCAGGAGAGGUGAGUGGGAUUCCGAGUGUAGAGGUGAAAUUCGUAGAUAUUCGGAAGAACACCAGUGGCGAAGGCGGCUCACUGGACUGGUAUUGACGCUGAGGUGCGAAAGCGUGGGGAGCAAACAGGAUUAGAUACCCGUGUAGUCCCUGUCUCUUAUAC